rnacentral:rRNA from 1 species
GACUUUGUCCGGAUUAGCUGAGAGGUGGUGCAUGGCCGUCGUCAGUUCGUACUGUGAAGCAUCCUGUUAAGUCAGGCAACGAGCGAGACCCACGCCCACAGUUGCCAGCGUACUCUCUGGAGUGACGGGUACACUGUGGGGACCGCCGCUGCUAAAGCGGAGGAAGGAAUGGGCAACGGUAGGUCAGUAUGCCCCGAAUAUCCCGGGCUACACGCGAGCUACAAUGGUUGGUACAAUGGGUAUCUACCCCGAAAGGGGACGGGAAUCUCCUAAAACCAAUCUUAGUUCGGAUUGAGGGCUGCAACUCGCCCUCAUGAAGCUGGAAUCCGUAGUAAUCGCGUUUCAACAGAACGCGGUGAAUACGUCCCUGCUCCUU